rnacentral:rRNA from 1 species
GAUGAACGCUGGCGGCGUGCCUAAUACAUGCAAGUCGAGCGAACGGACGAGAAGCUUGCUUUUCUGAUGUUAGCGGCGGACGGGUGAGUAACACGUGGAUAACCUACCUAUAAGACUGAGAUAACUUCGGGAAACCGGAGCUAAUACCGGAUAAUAUUUUGAACCGCAUGGUUCAAAAGUGAAAGACGGUCUUGCUGUCACUUAUAGAUGGAUCCGCGCUGCAUUAGCUAGUUGGUAAGGUAACGGCUUACCAAGGCAACGAUGCAUAGCCGACCUGAGAGGGUGAUCGGCCACACUGGAACUGAGACAAGGUCCAGACUCCUACGGGAGGCAGCAGUAGGGAAUCUUCCGCAAUGGGCGAAAGCCUGACGGAGCAACGCCGCGUGAGUGAUGAAGGUCUUCGGAUCGUAAAACUCUGUUAUUAGGGAAGAACAUAUGUGUAAGUAACUGUGCACAUCUUGACGGUACCUAAUGAGAAAGCCACGGCUAACUACGUG